rnacentral:rRNA from 1 species
UACGUAGGGGGCAAGCGUUGUCCGGAUUUAUUGGGCGUAAAGAGCGUGUAGGCGGUUUGGUAGGUCCGCUGUGAAAACUCGAGGCUCAACCUCGAGACGCCGGUGGAAACCAUCAGACUAGAGUCCGGAAGAGGAGAGUGGAAUUCCUGGUGUAGCGGUGAAAUGCGCAGAUAUCAGGAAGAACACCCGUGGCUAAGGCGGCUCUCUAGUACGGUACUGACGCUGAGGAGCGAAAGCGUGGGUAGCAAACAGG